rnacentral:rRNA from 1 species
UGGGGAAUAUUGCACAAUGGGCGCAAGCCUGAUGCAGCCAUGCCGCGUGUGUGAAGAAGGCCUUCGGGUUGUAAAGCACUUUCAGCGGGGAGGAAGGCGAUAAGGUUAAUAACCUCAUCGAUUGACGUUACCCGCAGAAGAAGCACCGGCUAACUCCGUGCCAGCAGCCGCGGUAAUACGGAGGGUGCAAGCGUUAAUCGGAAUUACUGGGCGUAAAGCGCACGCAGGCGGUCUGUCAAGUCGGAUGUGAAAUCCCCGGGCUCAACCUGGGAACUGCAUUCGAAACUGGCAGGCUAGAGUCUUGUAGAGGGGGGUAGAAUUCCAGGUGUAGCGGUGAACUGCGUAGAGAUCUGGAGGAAUACCGGUGGCGAAGGCGGCCCCCUGGACAAAGACUGACGCUCAGGUGCGAAAGCGUGGGGAGCAAACAGG